GAAACCUCACGCUGUGUUGAGCAACUACAAGUUUGUCAGCACCUUUAGCUGGAGCACAAGAGAGGGGAGACCUGAGGCUGGAGAAUCAGGCAGCUGGUCUUGGGGGGCCUGGGGUACUGUGGGACUGCCUAGGACUUGGGAGCCACUGAAGGCCAGCCUGCUGGAAGUAAGAUCUCUCUGGCUCCCGAGUGGAUAGAUGAUGGGCAGAGGGCUGUCUAGAGACAGGAGAUCCUCCAGGAAGCCACUGCACGGGUCCUGGCCAGAGAUGGAGAAUCCCUGAACAUGGGUGGCCCUGGGGAGACAGAAGGGGGCCAGAGGCAGGAGAUGUUAGAGAGAUGGAACUGGACAAUUUCCCAGCCCACAUCCUGAAAGGCAGGGAGCUCACGGUGAGGGCCUGGCACUCAUCUACAGGAAGUGGAACCGACAAAAGUGGAGGUGACUUCCCCCUGCGGUGACUAGCGUUCAGCAGAGGGGAUGGCCAGAAGAGAGGCUCAUGGGAAAGCAAGGAGUAAUGUGUUAAAGCUGAAGACAACAGCUUCUAGACGGCUACGAGGGAAACAGCAGAAGGAGGCAUCGGGUAGGGGAUGGCGGGUGGGGGUGGCUGCGGAGCUUCAGCACUCCCGAGAUCUCCGAGAGGACAGAGCCCUGAGCAGUUCCCUGCUCCUCUGGGCAAGAUGUGCUGCCGGGAGCCCUCCUGCCCUGGGCGAAGAGUUGCCCCCAGAGAGCCCCUUGUGGCCACAUGCUGUACUGCAGGUUGGUGCUUGAAUAAGGGGCGCCAGGAUGCAGGGACCUGUAACCCAGGGGAGAGGUGUGUGCAGAGCCAGUUUCUCCAGGAAACCGGGAGCAGAAGGGCAAGGGAAGCCCAGACUCCUCCCCUUUGCCAGUUCAGAGAACACGAAACGUACCCUGGAGGCCCAUGCCUUCUCACACACUCUCUGAGUGAACACUAUCCACAGACGUGCUGAGGUGUGCCAUGGCCUGUGAACAGCUGGGAAACGGCUUUCCAGACACGCACACGCUGGUACACGAUACAGUAUGCACGUGACCUAUGAGUGCAGCAGCACGGAGCUGCUGAGAAGUAACCCCCCUGGAGAGCCAGCCUGCCCCCACAGCUUCAGCCGGUGCUGACCAGGUGCUCAGUUUCUUAGGGAGGAACACUGUCUGCUUGGGGAUGGGGGGAGGUCCGGGAUGCUUACAUGGCAAAAUCAAGACCUUGUAAUGUAUAAAAGCUACUGAGAACAAAGCCCUGGUGCUCAGACUCUGGAGGUGACUCCUCUGAGCCCGCACCGGUACUAAAUAAACCUUGCUGUUCCAUAUCUCCGAGUGCUGUU
rnacentral:lncRNA from 1 species